GAAAUGCGAUAAGUAAUGUGAAUUGCAGAAUUCAGUGAAUCAUCGAAUCUUUGAACGCACAUUGCGCCCGCCAGUAUUCUGGCGGGCAUGCCUGUCCGAGCGUCAUUUCAACCAUCAAGCCCCCGGGCUUGUGUUGGGGACCUGCGGCUGCCCGCAGGCCCUGAAAACCAGUGGCGGGCUCGCUGUCACACCGAGCGUAGUAGCAAUCACCUCGCUCAGGGCGUGCUGCGGGUUCCGGCCGUUAAACAGCCUACAAAACCCAAGGUUGACCUCGGAUCAGGUAGGAAGACCCGCUGAACUUAAGC
rnacentral:misc_RNA from 1 species